UACGUAGGGUGCGAGCGUUAAUCGGAAUUACUGGGCGUAAAGGGUGCGUAGGCGGCGCGGUAAGUCGGGUGUGAAAUCUCGGAGCUUAACUCCGAAACUGCAUUCGAUACUGCCGUGCUUGAGGACUGGAGAGGAGACUGGAAUUUACGGUGUAGCGGUGAAAUGCGUAGAUAUCGUAAGGAAGACCAGUGGCGAAGGCGGGUCUCUGGACAGUUCCUGACGCUGAGGCACGAAGGCCAGGGGAGCAAACGGG
rnacentral:rRNA from 1 species